CAACAUUUUAGCAACAUUAAAUCUUAUUAAAAUCUGUUCAUAUUCACCCCCAGGAAGAAUAUGCUAUGUGUUUUUUUCUUUUUUUUUCUUCACAUUUUCUGACAAGCGAGCGCUUAGAUAUUGUCUUUUUAACAUUUUUAAUACAUUCGUAGAAUGUUUAGGGAAUUGCGUAUAUAGGAAGGCAUUUUGUGAAAAUUCUGUAGUAAUAUAUAGAGUGGGAAAGCGGCUGUGCGUUUGGACAAUUAACAGACACUGCAGUACAUAAAACCUAAUAAAAACAUCUGUCUCGUCCAGGACCGGAGUCUACGCAGAUUGGUGGGCCUUUUAGCCAAUCAGAGGUACGGUAGGACCUAUAUGCAAACAAAGCCAUUUGCCACACGGGCCUGCCAUCAUUCACUUUGAACUGGACUGUGUGUUUACAGGUAUUUGCAACAGCGAGACAUUAGAAUGCAUUCGGCAAAAGCCACAAAAUACACACCUGAAUGGAUUUCUGCAAAUAUGUAAAUACCACGGGAGAGUCCUCUUACGUUUGGGAACUUGCCAGUCCUAUUGGUCAAACAACCAUGAAAAGGUAGACUCUCUCUCUCAGUUAUACACAUCAAUAACCAUGAAAAGGUAGACUCUCUCUCUCAGUUAUACACAUCAAUAACCAUGAAAAGGUAGACUCUCUCUCAGUUAUACACAUCAAUAACCAUGAAAAGGUAGACUCUCUCUCUCUCUCUCUGUUAUACACAUCAAUAACCAUGAAAAGGUAGACUCUCUCUCAGUUAUACACAUCAAUAACCAUGAAAAGGUAGACUCUCUCUCCCUCAGUUAUACACAUCAAUAACCAUGAAAAGGCAGACUCUCUCUCAGUUAUACACAUCAAUAACCAUGAAAAGGUAGACUCUCUCUCUCUGUUAUACACAUCAACAACAAGAUCAAUAACUAAUGCUAGCCAGAUCAAUAACUAAUGCUAGCCAGAUCAACAACUAAUGCUAGCCAGAUCAACAACUAAUGCUAGCCAGAUCAACAACUAAUGCUAGCCAG
rnacentral:lncRNA from 1 species